GCUGAAGCCCGCCUUAGGUCCCAAAGGAACGGCUCUAAACAAGUUCUGCUUUGUUCUUUUUGGAAGCUUUUCAUUAGUUAGCUUCCCCGACAACCUACUGAGAACCAGAGUCGUGGAACAUUUUGUACGUCUGAAUUGGCAGAACCGUGAAGAGUUUGUACAGUGCUGUUUGCACGGUGUCUGUUCCGCUAAACCAGUGCCUGCCCAAAGCCAGGAGGUACCCAUUCCCCUGACGGGCAGCAACUGGAAAAGCCCAACCUCCUGCUGGUCCCACCUCUUCAUAAUAGAAAUAAGCCCAGUGAUCCACACGAAGGAGAAUGAGGCCACUCCCGAUCCUCUCUGUAUGAAGGCGGUCGAAUGAGAAGAGGGACGAGUCCUGCUGUCACAAUGAGACUUCCUCUUCAACCAGUCUCUCUGUGGAAAAAAAAAAUUCAGACGAACCAGUACUCAUUUAAGCAAAUUGUACUACAAAUAUACCGAACUGGUUUACCUACACCUGUGAAGCCUGAUCAAGACUGUAACUGGUGAGUGGACGGGGUCUUCUGAAAAAAUUGAUCCUUGAG